AUUGCGUGUUUCUAUCUGGACACCAUGAAAGCAAUAAUAGCAUGCAAUUAGUCAUCAAGCGUUAAAUUUAAAAUAAACAUAGAUUCAAAACAUUACAAACAUAGAUACAAAAAAUUCUCCUUCAACUAAUUUUAGAGGCAAAAUCAUCACUUAAUUUCAUGUAUAAGGUGAGCCAUUAGCAUCACAAGCUGAAUAAUCUUCCCUUAAUAGCUCUUUUAAAGAAUAUCACAGAAUUCUAAAU
rnacentral:misc_RNA from 1 species